rnacentral:lncRNA from 1 species
GGUGCAUGAGAGCAGUGAUUGAAUCUCCUGUGCCCUUAGGGUUAAAUGACCAAUAAUCACAUACUUGGGAAUAAGAAAAUGAAUAAGUAGCCCAGGUGGGCAGACAGAUGUGAAUCCAGGCUCUGCCAAAUAAUAACAAUGUAACUUUAGCAAGUUACUUGUCUUCUGUGAGUAUUGGUUUCCUCAGUUUUAAUUCUUUGUUAAAAAGCAUCACAAUAUUUACUUUAAAGUGUUCUGUGAGGACUCAAGAUAAAGCAAAUAAAAUGUUUAGUAAAGUUCCUGGUCCAUAGAUCUUCCAGACAUACUUCUGCAAACUUCUCUCAUCUUUCAUUCAAGACCUGUAGCAUCCAUCACUGGGAUUUGCUUCUGCUUUAGGUGGAAGUCUGCGGUGAUCUUGUCAAGAGAGCAUCCAAAGCAGAGGAAAUGCAAGCCUGACUGGACAGUUCUGUGAGGAGAAGAGAAGGAAGAAGGUUGGAGCUCUGCAGCCUGCCCCUAGAGACACUCCCAGGACGAUCUGGAUACACCAAGAUGUUCCAACUUAACAUUAUCAGCCAGCCAGCCAGCAUCUUCUUUUCUGCAGGACUAUAAGUAAAUGCAUUAUCAAGUACCUGCUAAUAUUUAGUUACAUUUUCUUUAUACAGAGCAAUUACUUUACCAUGAGUUCAAAAAUAUAUUUAUCUAUCUAAGACCAUGAACUUAAUUGUUUUAAUUGUGC